AGGGAAAGUUGCAAAGCACUUUGAAGAGAGAGUUAAAGAGGACGUGAAACCGGUAAGGUGGAAACGGAUAGAGUCGGCGUAUCAUUCAAUUAUUCAGUUACAUUAUUUUUAUGUUGUGACCUCUGAGCUCCAGAUUGGGACAGAGGGAAUCAGCAUAAUUUUUUGUGGUGCAUUUACUUGAUUGGUGCUUGGGGAUGUUUGAGGCAGAUUUGUUUCCGUCGUUUUGAGGCCAGCUUGCUGGUACCCAAACGGUGUUAGCAUUUUUUGUCUUGGGCAUUUGAGUAUGGCUCACGUGUAUUUAUUGGACAGAUCUGAGUGUAAGUUACGGUCGCAUGCGACACGUGCUUUUCAAUUAGUUCGGUCCAGUUAAUGCUCUCGUACUCGUUCCCCAUGUAAAAGCCGGUCAUCUAUCCGACCCGUCUUGAAACACGGACCAAGGAGUUUAUCGUGUGCGCAAGUUUUUGGGUGUUAAAAACUUAAAAGCGAAAUGAAAGUAAAUGACUCUUUAGAGUCUGAUGUGCGAUCUUGUAAAAAAGUGUAGCAUGGCCCCAUUCUAACUGUUUACAGUAGGGUGGCGGAAGAGCGUACGCGGUGAGACCCGAAAGAUGGUGAACUAUUCCUGAGCAGGACGAAGCCAGAGGAAACUCUGGUGGAAGUCCGAAGCGGUUCUGACGUGCAAAUCGAUCGUCUGACUUGGGUAUAGGGGCGAAAGACUAAUCGAACCAUC
rnacentral:rRNA from 1 species